AUUGAACGCUGGCGGCAGGCUUAACACAUGCAAGUCGAGCGAGCGGCGGACGGGUGAGUAAUGUCUGGGAAACUGACUGAUGGAGGGGGAUAACUACUGGGAACGGUAGCUAAUAACGCAUACCAUCAGAUGUGCCCAGAUUGGUUUAGCUAGUAGGUGGGGUAAAGGCUCACCUAGGCGACGAUCCCUAGCUGGGCUGAGAGGAUGACCAGCCACACGGGAACUGAGACACGGUCCAGACUCCUACGGGAGGCAGCAGUGGGGAAUAUUGCACAAUGGGCGAAAGCCGGAUGCAGCCAUGCCGCGUGUGUGAAGAAGGCCUUCGGGUUGUAAAGCACGUUCAGCGGGGAGGCGUUACUCGCAGAAUAAGCACCGGCUAACUCCGUGCCAGCAGCCGCGGUAAUAC
rnacentral:rRNA from 1 species